UCUCUCAAUAAAGCUUCUUUUUAUCAAAAACAAGACAUACAAACACAAAAGAAAAAGAAAAUAAUGUUCCAUAAUAUCUUAAUUUAGUGAGCAAUGUUGAAUCAUUUGUAUCUUGAUUCAUACGGAGCAACAUGAUCUCGGAAAAAAUGCGCCCAAAAAAAAAGAUCGAGCAUCGUAAAAAUGUCAUGAUGAUUUCCAUCUUUUGUUUUGCUCAUUGUUGAGAAGCAAUUAAAUGAAACAUAUAGAUUGAAAGAAAAACUACUUACAUUUUGGAGCACCAAAAACAUGCAUGGUAUGCCAUACCGACAGCGUACGGUCGCAAAUUGGAUAAAUUGGCAAAUCGAUUGUUUGCCGAAAAUUAUGAACUAUGCAAUGCACAUCUUAGACACAAAAUGACGAUAUAAUUAGUCCACAAGUAUUGUGCGUCAAAAUCAAAUACCAUUCAAUAAGAUAACACAGGAAGCGGGUGAAAUUAUGCUCACAUUCCCACUUGGCUACCAUUGUGCCGAAUCAACAAACUAUGCCACAUUGCGUUGGGUCGCGAAUAUGGCAAACGAGCAUCACAUUGUCAAUGCCGAAGAGAUGCGGUGAAAAUCAGCAGGGACACAUUCAUCAAAAGAUUUCAACCAGAAAAUUAUACAAAAUGGCGAAGUGGUAAUGAUAUUAGGACCACAUCCAGAAGAUGCUCAUCGUCAAAGGAAUGGAACCAGUAGCUCCAAAUCAAAAUCGGUGAAAAGAGCCAAAAAAUCCAGAUAGAUUAUCAGGACUGAAAAGGCAGGCGAAAAAUUGACAUUUCAAAGUUUGUCAUACAUAUGAAUCCAAAAGUUCGUUUGAAAAACAUUUGGAAAGAAUUGGCCGAUGUUGGUGUAGCUGUAAACCUCUUGCCACCCGGAAAUAUCAAUAAAACCAUUAGCAUCAGAUAUAGCAUCAAAACUCAAUCUUUAUUCGACGAUGAUAUUAUGAAUUAGUCAAACACCAACAAAAGAAAACCAUUACUUUACAGCGAAUGUAGAGUGUA